rnacentral:rRNA from 1 species
CCUACGGGAGGCAGCAGUGGGGGAUAUUGCACAAUGGGGGGAACCCUGAUGCAGCGACGCCGCGUGGGUGAAGAAGCGCCUCGGCGCGUAAAGCCCUGUCAGCAGGGAAGAAAAUGACGGUACCUGAAGAAGAAGCCCCGGCUAACUACGUGCCAGCAGCCGCGGUAAUACGUAGGGGGCAAGCGUUAUCCGGAUUUACUGGGUGUAAAGGGGGCGCAGACGGCGAUGCAAGCCAGGAGUGAAAGCACGGGGCCCAACCCCGGGACUGCUCUUGUAACUGCGUGGCUGGAGUGCAGGAGGGGCAGGCGGAAUGCCUGGUGUAGCGGGGAAAGGCGUAGAUAUCAGGAGGAACACCGGUGGCGAAGGCGGCCUGCUGGACUGCAACUGACGUUGAGGCCCGAAAGCGUGGGGAGCAAACAGGAUUAGAUACCCUUGUAGUC